GCGCUCGUAGCUCAACGGAUAGAGCUACCGGUUUCUACCCGGUCGGUUGGGGGUUCGAGUCCCUUCGGGCGCA
rnacentral:tRNA from 1 species